UACGUAGGGGGCUAGCGUUGUCCGGAAUCAUUGGGCGUAAAGAGCGUGUAGGCGGUCCGGUAAGUCCGCUGUGAAAGUCCAGGGCUCAACCCUGGGAUGCCGGUGGAUACUGUCGAGCUCGAGUCCGGAAGAGGCGAGUGGAAUUCCUGGUGUAGCGGUGAAAUGCGCAGAUAUCAGGAGGAACACCAAUGGCGAAGGCAGCUCGCUGGGACGUGACUGACGCUGAGACGCGAAAGCGUGGGGAGCAAACAGG
rnacentral:rRNA from 1 species